AUCUGAUGUGCAGCCACACUUGUGGAUGUGGGUGAACCCCAACCUGGUUUGCUCCAUAACAGGAUACCCCAAUAAGGGAAUCCCAGGAAAACCAGUGCAUUCAGUAGCUCCUGCACCCAAGGCGGCUGUUAGAAAACCUACUUCAGUAAAACCAAGGCCCCAAGUAGCUGCUGCCCUACAGACUUCCUCUGGACAAUGUGUUUCAGUGUCCCCAGUAACUGCUGCACCCAAGGUCUCCGCUAGAAAAUAUAGUUCAGUAAAGGCAGUGACCCUCGUCACUGCCCUGGAGACUUCUCCUGUUGCCUCUGUUUCCAAGCCCCCAUUGGCUGCUGCUGUGAUCCUGCAGGCUUCCACAGUCAAGAAAGUUCCCAGAAAACUAGUGUUCCCUGUAUUAUUGGCAACUGUUGCACCCAAGGCUUCUACUCCAGUAAAACCAGUACCUCCAGUAGCUGCUGCACACAAGGCUUCCAAUAGAAAACAUGCUUCAGUAAAGACAGUGCCCCCAGUAGCUGACACCAUGCAGAUUUGCACACACACACCGGAAAAAACCAUGUCCCUGGAAGCUGCAGCACUUGAGGACUCCUAUCAGAAACCAGUCUUAAUUGACUCCAAGCAACUCUGUCCCAAGGAGGAGAUGCUACUGUGCUCCAGCAAAGCAAAGCACUGAGAUUGAUAUGACCUGUGACUCCCACAGCCCCAGUGACCUGGAUGACUUGACACCUGCCCUUCAUCUCUUCUUUUGGCUAAAUGAUGCUGACUUCAAAAUGACCUUUGCCAGCAAGAGGCUACUGAAGAUGGGCUUUGUGUGGAAAGCAACCCAACCUUCUUCUCACUCUCAUAUGGAGAACAAGUCAAAUGCCACUUGAGUGCAGCCAUAUUAUGCCCCCGUUUCCACAGAAAUUCUGGGCUCCUGCUGACUUCAAUGGGUGUGGGUGGUGCUUGACACCUGUUUCAGACUGUGUUUGAGGGCAGGUCUGAAUAGUUUUGUUAAAUCUGUGCCAAUUUAGUUAAAAGGGUUCAAUACCCUAUUCAUUUUGACCUAGCUUGCAGUAGUAAAACUUCUAAAUUGUGCUGUCCACACUAGGGUGUUGAACUGAUCUAACCUGUUUCUUUUUUCCCUGCAACGUGAUCUAGUUAAAUUGGUGCCAAAACUGAUGUAGACAAGCCCCAGGUAGUCCUUCUACCUGUCCUCUCUUAGGGAGGAAAGCUGCCACUGUGCUGGCUGGCACUACAAGUAGGGAUCCCCUUGUUAGGGAUCAAAUAAAGCUACUUUUUUUUUUAAAGUCACUUUAGACUAAAGCUUAAGUCUGUAUCAGCAAUGAGCUUGCCAGGCAUCUAUUAAAACUUCAGUUUCCUUUUAAUGCUGUAUUUCUAAUUCUUUAAGCGAUCCUUUCUGUAGCCUCUGUUCUUGUAUCCCGCUCUGGCUCCUUCCAACCAAACUCAAAGUGCUUUUGUUACAAAUGUCAAGUCUUCCACCUCUGGCAUAAGAACAGAGUCACCUCUGUGCCUUAUCUGUAAGCUGGAGUAAAAGUAACUUGUCUGACAUCAUGUAUUAUGUCUGUGGCAGAGCUAGAAAUAGAACCCAAGUGUCCAGAUAUUUAGUCCGUGCUUAGCCAACAGGUCCUUGCUCUCCCUCUUGAAGGGUAGUUGCUUGUGAGGUUGUCAGGCACUAGAUCCAAUUUAGGCCUGCAGUUUCAUGAAUAGCUAAACAAAUCAAACCUCUAGCAUCAGCAAAAAUGGUCACUGCCAAGGACAUGAAAUCCCCACCCCAGGUAAAGCAUUGUACAGCUACCAGCUGCAUGAUCAGAAUAGGGGAGUUAGGAUAUAGGAAUAGAUGGUAUAUUGGUUUAUUUUAUAGUAAAUUCUAAAUUUUUCCUAGUGGAAAGAGGAUCAACCUCUACCUACUGGCACUCAGAGUAACAUUAGCCACUUUCUGCUAAGCAAGCAUUUUUGUGAGAGAAGGGUGCUAAAGGAAGGGAAGAGCUUUUCAACAAAUCCUCCCCUCUGACUUCUGCUCUUCCUCUUGCAUGGAUCUUUGCUGACUACUCUUAAUCAGGAAUAUGUGCAACAGCUCCCGCUGCAUCUGACUGGGGUAGAAACCACCCCUCCUGUAGAGACUGCUUGCUAAGUUUGCCCGCAACUCUUGUGCAGAUUUAAGAGGCAAAACAUUACUUUUGAAUGGGCUUUCAAGGUCCUGCUGUACUAGAGCAUUGGUCAAGCUCAUUCUUAUGGCUCAGUCAACUGAAAAAUCAGCUUGAGCACUCUCCCUUGUGGUAUGGGUGUGAUUUGCUCAUGUUCCUCUCUUUUUGUGAGGUCUGCCUGACUGUUGAAACAGUCACUUGUUUAUGUAACAGCCAGUUUCAGCUGUACCAGUAAACUUCUUGCUUGCAAGACUACAGUAGGGAAUAAGAGGGGCCUAUCCUAGACUAACAACAGUUCACCUUUGCUGUCACGUGCUCACUGGGGACUGAAAGCAUGAUCCUCUCUAGGGACUGGCAGUUAAGUGCUCACUAGACUCCUAAAAGAUGAGUGGUGGCAGUGGGAGAACAGAAAUCAUUGUCAGAUUAUACAAGAAGAGGAUUAAGCCUACCAUAGAACUGCUUCUGUUGGAAAGGGAAUUCAUCUGUGGGGCACUAGGAAGUGCAAGUGUCUUAGUUGCAUGGGAGGCCUUGCUCCUGAUGCCUUAAACCUCUCUAAAAAACAGGCUCUGUGCAGUACCCCUCCCUACCUCUCGCACCAAAUUUUUUAUAUAUAGAUUAAAUCACACUUUAAGGUUCCAUUUACAACUCACUGACUCCAAAUUUUAGCAUGUUACAGAUAGCAUCUGAUGUUAGCCUAACCCUAUUAGUAGGUAUUACAGGUAAACAACCUAGACACCUGUUGGACUCUGAACAAUUUAUUAAAAUACCUUAUAAAUGAAAUAGUCAAAUAAGUGACCAGUUUUCUCUAGUUUAAGUGGCUGCUGUCUGAUUAAAAAAAUGGUUCUUGCUGUGUUACUUUAACAACUGAGAUCAAACUAAGCCAGUCUUGUCAUCUUGUUUGGUUUCUGCCUUUAAUGCAGGCAUUUAGCACCAACUGUUUCUAGGCAGUGCCAGUAUGUAGACUGGAUAUAUUGCAGAGGGCUAGGGUUUUAUGAUCCAUUCUGCCUGUGUUAGAGGAAGCAGCAGUUGUGAUGUUAAAUAAGACAAAAGCUGCUGUAUUGACAAUGUAAAGAAUCAGAGCUGCCAGAGGGGUUUAGUUUAAAAAAACAAAUGUUUUUACUGCUUUAUAAUGAAGGCCUGAGUGUGUGUUUGGUUUUUUUAGCUUUAGAAAUACCAGGAAUGGAAUGUCUGGUUCCAUUCUGGCUCCCUGAUUAAAGUAAAGGUGUGUGGCAGGCAAUCUGUGUUAGAGCAAUCAUCUUGUGGAUUGGGGGAGAGACUUUAACAAAGACCUCAUUUCUCCCCAGCAUUCAGUAGGCUUUAGUAUUACAUAACUAAACAAGUAAGCUCCCUUUCCCCUCAAUUGCUACAGCUUUUUUGCUCAUGUCACAUCAUUGGUUCCCUGUCUGAGAUACGAUCUAUGUUUAAAUAACAGAAUUCAGCCUCUCUUGUCAAGAGGCAGGAGAACAAUAACACAGUUUUCACCUUAUCUCCUCCCACCCCAUUUAGGGUCAUUUUUGUGUCUCCUAGCACUAGGAUUGAAAAGAAGUUUUGGUGUGGUCUUGUUUUGUGUGCAUAUUUAAAAAAAAAAAAAAGACUCUGGGGCUAGUCAGCUGGAACUUCAGCAAAAUAAAAUGACAAUGUCUUUGGGAUCUUUAA